rnacentral:rRNA from 1 species
UACGGAGGGUGCAAGCGUUAUCCGGAUUUACUGGGUUUAAAGGGUGUGUAGGCGGGCCUUUAAGUCCGUGGUGAAAUACCAGUGCUUAACACUGGAGCUGCCAUGGAUACUAUUGGUCUUGAAUGUUGAUGAGGUGGGCGGAAUGUAUCAUGUAGCGGUGAAAUGCUUAGAUAUGAUACAGAACACCGAUUGCGAAGGCAGCUCACUAAACAACGAUUGACGCUGAGGCACGAAAGCGUGGGGAUCAAACAGG